rnacentral:lncRNA from 1 species
AUGCUCAAUAUUUUUCAUCAAUAUUAUGCUGUAAUUCUUAAAAAAAUAUAUUAAAGUAUCUUCAACAAAAUAAACUUAAUUGAAUAAAAAUCAUAAUUGCAUGAACACAAACAAAAAUAUAUUAAUAAUAAAAUAGUGGAGUACCGUUGUAUUUUUUCACCAUUUUACAACCUUAGUCGAAAUGCGAAAUGUUUUGCAAAAAGGUAAAUUCUCAUGUUGUGGUUCUGUAGAAUAUCUUAUGAAGAUGAUAUUUUAAGCAGUUUUAAAUGCCUUUAUUUAACUUCUGACUUUUAUUAAAACAUACAUGAUCCUAAUGGGUAUUCAGGAUGAUUAUUUUUUUGUAACAUUCAUGAUGCAGGGUAUAAAACGAGAAAACAUAGAACCUUUGUGCUGCAACACGUAUAAAACGAGAAGACAUUGUAAUGUAACAUGACACAAUGUAUAUGUUACAGUGAAUUUGUAAAAUC